rnacentral:misc_RNA from 1 species
GAUGAAGAACGUAGUGAAAUGCGAUACUUGGUGUGAAUUGCAGAAUCCCGUGAACCAUCGAGUCUUUGAACGCAAGUUGCGCCCGAAGCCAUUAGGCCGAGGGCACGUCUGCCUGGGCGUCACACAACGUUGCCCCCCCAACCCUCGACUUCCAAGAGGACGGGGGGCGGAUGCUGGCCUCCCGUGCGCCACGGCUCGCGGUUGGCCCAAAUGCGAGUACUCGGCGACGAGCGCCGCGGCAAUCGGUGGUUGUCCAACCCUCGGUGCCAUGCUGCGCGCGCUAGCCGCUCACUGUUACUCGACGACCCCAAUGCGUCGUAUCCACGACGCUCACAACGCGACCCCAGGUCAGGCGGGGCUACCCGCUGAGUUUAAGCAUAUCAAUAAGCGGAGGA